rnacentral:rRNA from 1 species
CCUACGGGCGGCAGCAGUGGGGAAUAUUGGGCAAUGGGCGCAAGCCUGACCCAGCAACGCCGCGUGAAGGAAGAAGGCUUUCGGGUUGUAAACUUCUUUUCUGAGGGACGAAGCAAGUGACGGUACCUCAGGAAUAAGCCACGGCUAACUACGUGCCAGCAGCCGCGGUAAUACGUAGGUGGCAAGCGUUAUCCGGAUUUAUUGGGUGUAAAGGGCGUGUAGGCGGGACUGCAAGUCAGAUGUGAAAACUCAGGGCUCAACCCUGAGCCUGCAUUUGAAACUGUUGUUCUUGAGUACUGGAGAGGCAAACGGAAUUCCGGGUGUAGCGGUGAAAUGCGUAGAUAUAAGGAGGAACACCAGUGGCGAAGGCGGAUUGCUGGACAGUAACUGACGCUGAGGCGCGAAAGCGUGGGGAGCAAACAGGAUUAGAUACCCGGGUAGUC